UACGUAGGUGGCGAGCGUUGUCCGGAUUUACUGGGCGUAAAGGGAGCGUAGGCGGACUUUUAAGUCAGUGGUGAAAUCCUGCGGCUCAACCGUAGUAAGCCUUUGAAACUGGGAAACUUGAGUGCAGGAGAGGAGAGUGGAAUUCCUAGUGUAGCGGUGAAAUGCGUAGAUAUUAGGAGGAACACCAGUUGCGAAGGCGGCUCUCUGGACUGUAACUGACACUGAGGCACGAAAGCGUGGGGAGCAAACAGGAUUAGAUACCCUGGUAGUCCCU
rnacentral:rRNA from 1 species